UGAGCAACAGACACACACACACACUCUUUAUCUCUCUCUCUCUCUCUUCGGGCUCGAGACAGCUGACUGUCCGCCUCUGCGACGGGCACGAACCCGAACCGUGAGACCCUCGAGCGAUAUAUAUAGAUAUAUAUAUAUUUUUUUAGGUUUAUUCGCCGGUUCUUAGUUGCCGGAACCCAAACUGAGACUUUACACAAGACGAAGUCGUCGCCAGGGAUCGUAAUAAAUCAGCGAAACGGACCAACGCGCUGGAACAGACGAGCUUGUGGGACGCCUCAGCUCGGCCGCGCGCGAACGAAAUCCCGCGCGCGCCUGUCAGUUUGACACUUAUGAAGUCGUCGUCAUGGCAACAGAGCGAACAGUGACGAGGCGCGAUAUAAAGGGGGGUGGAGGGGGGGGGCGUUAAUGGCUCUUCAGAGAAGCUCUGUCAGGCUUUGAAUGACACGAAAUGAGAGAGAAGAAAAAAAACAUGAGACGAGAACAAAUGAAGCGAAAUACUAACUGUACGCGUGUGGACAAACGCAUCAAUGCAAGCCCCCUCCCCCAACCCCACCUCAUGCUGUAAUGGAAUAUCGAGGGAAACGUGAGCAACUGAAUAGGGCCCCAUUCCUAUAUUUUGCCUAGGGCCCCCAAAUCACAAAGUCCACCCCUGUGUGCACGAGUUCGGGAACUGAGAAUUGCCAUCAUGUUCUCCCACACUCACCAGCCUUCUCCGCCACUUCAGCAUUUGACAGGUUCUGGCUGUUCGGGCGAACUUGGAACGUGAGAGCCGGACCUACCACGCUGCAAACAGAAGUUAACAGUCAUGCACCCAAAACAAGCACAAGCUACAGAAACACAGGGGAUAUGAGGGAGGAGGUUAGUGGCAGAGUCAAGGAUCAAGGGGUUAGGGUGCCUCAGAGAUGAGCUUGAUUCAUGCCAUUCAUUCUUUGCCACCACAUGAUUCUCCACCAUACUGGGGACCCCAGGUUAGGCCUCCACCUCACCACAGGUUGGGCUCGGGAUUCAAAAGGUUCAGAGGGUCACGGUUAGGGGAUUGUGCUGAGUCAUGAACUAAAGAGUUUGAAACAUAAAUAAGCCUCAUACGCAAAAUGUUUGCAUAUGAGUCUUAUACAUUAGGUUUAGACUUGGUUCUGUUCAAGCAAAAAUGGCUCAUUUAAUAUUUUUACUAACAGUGGAAAAAAAUCAUAAAAGUGAUUUGUUUCCUUACAUAAAAAUUCUUGUGCAUGGCUAAGUUGUUCUAGUGAACAUGCAAAUCCAUUUGCAAAAAAUCAUGUUUAUAUUACAUUGGCAAUGCUCACAUCUUUUUUGACCUGAGAGCAACAAUGCUCAAAUAAAGGGCUGAAAAUAUGGACUGUUGAAAAUACGAAACAAAACAGUGAUUUUAAAUGAGAGCUGUCUUGUAUCUGCAUACACAAUUGCAAGUGGUGAUCUUUUGUGUGUCUAUUUAUAUUAAUAUAGUUUAUACUGUUGACAAUCAAAAUCAAGCCUAGACAUAUUGGGUACUAUAAAAAAAAACUUCAUUGCAAUAAAAUUAAAUUAGGUGCCCAGAGUCAAUGAAGACAACAUAAGGCUCUAUUUCAUGGGCUUGGGAUUUUCCUGACAUUGUGACUGACAUUACCUGAUGUUGAUAAAAGAGCCAAUGGUGAGAUGGAUCCUCUUAGUCAGGGCCACCAAAAGAUGAACGCCAUCAAACAGAGAGAGGGGACUGCAGAGACACACAUUGACGUGCCACAUACAAAUACAGGCACCACGAAAUACAUAAAAACCCACAAACACAGACAAAUAGUCCACCCAAUGUGAAGGGUUUGAUGCCAUUAAGAAGAAUGGGAUGGAUGAAUGGAAAAUGUGCAAUGAGUUACUCAAACACUUUGCAGAUGAACAUAUGUGGCAAUGG